rnacentral:rRNA from 1 species
GCCUUUUGUAGAAUGAACCGGCGAGUUACGAUUUGAUGCAAGGUUAAGCAGUAAAUGUGGAGCCGUAGCGAAAGCGAGUCUGAAUAGGGCGUUUAGUAUUUGGUCGUAGACCCGAAACCAGGUGAUCUACCCUUGGUCAGGUUGAAGUUCAGGUAACACUGAAUGGAGGACCGAACCGACUUACGUUGAAAAGUGAGCGGAUGAACUGAGGGUAGCGGAGAAAUUCCAAUCGAACCUGGAGAUAGCUGGUUCUCUCCGAAAUAGCUUUAGGGCUAGCCUCAAGUGAUGAUUAUUGGAGGUAGAGCACUGUUUGGACGAGGGGCCCCUCUCGGGUUACCGAAUUCAGACAAACUCCGAAUGCCAAUUAAUUUAACUUGGGAGUCAGAACAUGGGUGAUAAGGUCCGUGUUCGAAAGGGAAACAGCCCAGACCACCAGCUAAGGUCCCAAAAUAUAUGUUAAGUGGAAAAGGAUGUGGCGUUGCCCAGACAACUAGGAUGUUGGCUUAGAAGCAGCCAUCAUUUAAAGAGUGCGUAAUAGCUCACUAGUCGAGUGACACUGCGCCGAAAAUGUACCGGGGCUAAACAUAUUACCGAAGCUGUGGAUUGUCCUUUGGACAAUGGUAGGAGAGCGUUCUAAGGGCGUUGAAGCAUGAUCGUAAGGACAUGUGGAGCGCUUAGAAGUGAGAAUGCCGGUGUGAGUAGCGAAAGACGGGUGAGAAUCCCGUCCACCGAUUGACUAAGGUUUCCAGAGGAAGGCUCGUCCGCUCUGGGUUAGUCGGGUCCUAAGCUGAGGCCGACAGGCGUAGGCGAUGGAUAACAGGUUGAUAUUCCUGUACCACCUAUAAUCGUUUUAAUCGAUGGGGGGACGCAGUAGGAUAGGCGAAGCGUGCGAUUGGAUUGCACGUCUAAGCAGUAAGGCUGAGUAUUAGGCAAAUCCGGUACUCGUUAAGGCUGAGCUGUGAUGGGGAGAAGACAUUGUGUCUUCGAGUCGUUGAUUUCACACUGCCGAGAAAAGCCUCUAGAUAGAAAAUAGGUGCCCGUACCGCAAACCGACACAGGUAGUCAAGAUGAGAAUUCUAAGGUGAGCGAGCGAACUCUCGUUAAGGAACUCGGCAAAAUGACCCCGUAACUUCGGGAGAAGGGGUGCUCUUUAGGGUUAACGCCCAGAAGAGCCGCAGUGAAUAGGCCCAAGCGACUGUUUAUCAAAAACACAGGUCUCUGCUAAACCGUAAGGUGAUGUAUAGGGGCUGACGCCUGCCCGGUGCUGGAAGGUUAAGAGGAGUGGUUAGCUUCUGCGAAGCUACGAAUCGAAGCCCCAGUAAACGGCGGCCGUAACUAUAACGGUCCUAAGGUAGCGAAAUUCCUUGUCGGGUAAGUUCCGACCCGCACGAAAGGCGUAACGAUUUGGGCACUGUCUCAACGAGAGACUCGGUGAAAUCAUAGUACCUGUGAAGAUGCAGGUUACCCGCGACAGGACGGAAAGACCCCGUGGAGCUUUACUGUAGCCUGAUAUUGAAAUUCGGCACAGCUUGUACAGGAUAGGUAGGAGCCUUUGAAACGUGAGCGCUAGCUUACGUGGAGGCGCUGGUGGGAUACUACCCUAGCUGUGUUGGCUUUCUAACCCGCACCACUUAUCGUGGUGGGAGACAGUGUCAGGCGGGCAGUUUGACUGGGGCGGUCGCCUCCUAAAAGGUAACGGAGGCGCUCAAAGGUUCCCUCAGAAUGGUUGGAAAUCAUUCAUAGAGUGUAAAGGCAUAAGGGAGCUUGACUGCGAGACCUACAAGUCGAGCAGGGUCGAAAGACGGACUUAGUGAUCCGGUGGUUCCGCAUGGAAGGGCCAUCGCUCAACGGAUAAAAGCUACCCCGGGGAUAACAGGCUUAUCUCCCCCAAGAGUUCACAUCGACGGGGAGGUUUGGCACCUCGAUGUCGGCUCAUCGCAUCCUGGGGCUGUAGUCGGUCCCAAGGGUUGGGCUGUUCGCCCAUUAAAGCGGUACGCGAGCUGGGUUCAGAACGUCGUGAGACAGUUCGGUCCCUAUCCGUCGUGGGCGUAGGAAAUUUGAGAGGAGCUGUCCUUAGUACGAGAGGACCGGGAUGGACAUACCUCUGGUGUACCAGUUGUCGUGCCAACGGCAUAGCUGGGUAGCUAUGUGUGGACGGGAUAAGUGCUGAAAGCAUCUAAGCAUGAAGCCCCCCUCAAGAUGAGAUUUCCCAACUUCGGUUAUAAGAUCCCUCAAAGAUGAUGAGGUUAAUAGGUUCGAGGUGGAAGCAUGGUGACAUGUGGAGCUGACGAAUACUAAUCGAUCGAAGACUUAAUCAAAA